CUCUCUCUUCAAGCCAGAUACCGGGGGUUCACGGGCCACCGGUCAGCGCCAAGAGAAAAAGGAGCUAUAGCCCUUCUCUUUGGAGAAAAUAUUUAUAGGUAUGGGCGGCCAGUAGGUGAUGAUUCGCCAACCGCCGCCCAUGCCG
rnacentral:ncRNA from 12 species